AUGGCUCAGAACGAACGCUGGCGGCAGGCUUAACACAUGCAAGUCGAGCGAGGUCUUCGGACCUAGCGGCGGACGGGUGAGUAACGCGUGGGAACGUGCCCUUUGCUACGGAAUAGUCCCGGGAAACUGGGUUUAAUACCGUAUGUGCCCUACGGGGGAAAGAUUUAUCGGCAAAGGAUCGGCCCGCGUUGGAUUAGGUAGUUGGUGGGGUAAUGGCCUACCAAGCCGACGAUCCAUAGCUGGUUUGAGAGGAUGAUCAGCCACACUGGGACUGAGACACGGCCCAGACUCCUACGGGAGGCAGCAGUGGGGAAUCCAAGACAAUGGGGGCAACCCUGAUCUAGCCAUGCCGCGUGAGUGAUGAAGGCCCUAGGGUUGUAAAGCCCUUUCAGCUGGGAAGAUAAUGACGGUACCAGCAGAAGAAGCCCCGGCUAACUCCGUGCCAGCAGCCGCGGUAAUAC
rnacentral:rRNA from 1 species